rnacentral:snRNA from 1 species
AAUUCAACCAAGCGCGGG